rnacentral:rRNA from 1 species
GAUGAACGCUGGCGGCGUGCUUAACACAUGCAAGUCGAACGGAAAGGCCAGUGCUUGCCCUGGUACUCGAGUGGCGAACGGGUGAGUAACACGUGGGUGAUCUGCCCUGUACUUCGGGAUAAGCUUGGGAAACUGGGUCUAAUACCGGAUAGGACAACUUUUUGGAUAUUGUUGUGGAAAGCUUUUGCGGUAUGGGAUGAGCUCGCGGCCUAUCAGCUUGUUGGUGGGGUAAUGGCCUACCAAGGCGUCGACGGGUAGCCGGCCUGAGAGGGUGUACGGCGACGUUGGGAGGGGGAGGCGGCACAGACGGGGAGGGGGGGGAGAGGGGGGGAAUAGCGCACAGGGGGCGAAGGCCUGAGGCAGCGAGGGGGGGGGGGGGAGGAGGGCGGUGGGGUUGUAACCCCUGGGGGCUAGGGAGGGAGAGGAAGGGGCGGUACGAGGAGAAGAGGCACAGGAAAACGACGUGCCAGCAGCCGCGGAAAUAAGCGGAAGGGCACGGUCUGAAC